AUUUACAGGCUUAACACAUGCAAGUCGAGGGGCAGCAUGGUCUUAGCUUGCUAAGGCCGAUGGCGACCGGCGCACGGGUGAGUAACACGUAUCCAACCUGCCGUCUACUCUUGGACAGCCUUCUGAAUGGAAGAUUAAUACAAGAUGGCAUCAUGAGUCCGCAUGUUCACAUGAUUAAAGGUAUUCCGGUAGACGAUGGGGAUGCGUUCCAUUAGAUAGUAGGCGGGGUAACGGCCCACCUAGUCUUCGAUGGAUAGGGGUUCUGAGAGGAAGGUCCCCCACAUUGGAACUGAGACACGGUCCAAACUCCUACGGGAGGCAGCAGUGAGGAAUAUUGGUCAAUGGGCGAGAGCCUGAACCAGCCAAGUAGCGUGAAGGAUGACUGCCCUAUGGGUUGUAAACUUCUUUUAUAAAGGAAUAAAGUCGGGUAUGGAUACCCGUUUGCAUGUACUUUAUGAAUAAGGAUCGGCUAACUCCGUGCCAGCAGCCGCGGUAAUACGGAGGAUCCGAGCGUUAUCCGGAUUUAUUGGGUUUAAAGGGAGCGUAGAUGGAUGUUUAAGUCAGUUGUGAAAGUUUGCGGCUCAACCGUAAAAUUGCAGUUGAUACUGGAUAUCUUGAGUGCAGUUGAGGCAGGCGGAAUUCGUGGUGUAGCGGUGAAAUGCUUAGAUAUCACGAAGAACUCCGAUUGCGAAGGCAGCCUGCUAAGCUGCAACUGACAUUGAGGCUCGAAAGUGUGGGUAUCAAACAGGAUUAGAUACCCUGGUAGUCCACACGGUAAACGAUGAAUACUCGCUGUUUGCGAUAUACUGCAAGCGGCCAAGCGAAAGCGUUAAGUAUUCCACCUGGGGAGUACGCCGGCAACGGUGAAACUCAAAGGAAUUGACGGGGGCCCGCACAAGCGGAGGAACAUGUGGUUUAAUUCGAUGAUACGCGAGGAACCUUACCCGGGCUUAAAUUGCAGAUGAAUUACGGUGAAAGCCGUAAGCCGCAAGGCAUCUGUGAAGGUGCUGCAUGGUUGUCGUCAGCUCGUGCCGUGAGGUGUCGGCUUAAGUGCCAUAACGAGCGCAACCCUUGUUGUCAGUUACUAACAGGUUCCGCUGAGGACUCUGACAAGACUGCCAUCGUAAGAUGUGAGGAAGGUGGGGAUGACGUCAAAUCAGCACGGCCCUUACGUCCGGGGCUACACACGUGUUACAAUGGGGGGUACAGAGGGCCGCUACCACGCGAGUGGAUGCCAAUCCCCAAAACCUCUCUCAGUUCGGACUGGAGUCUGCAACCCGACUCCACGAAGCUGGAUUCGCUAGUAAUCGCGCAUCAGCCACGGCGCGGUGAAUACGUUCCCGGGCCUUGUACACACCGCCCGUCAAGCCAUGGGAGCCGGGGGUACCUGAAGUGCGUAACCGCGAGGAGCGCCCUAGGGUAAAACUGGUGACUGGGGC
rnacentral:rRNA from 1 species